rnacentral:rRNA from 1 species
UACGAAGGGGGCUAGCGUUGUUCGGAAUCACUGGGCGUAAAGGGCGCGUAGGCGGCCUGAUAAGUAGGGGGUGAAAUCCUGCGGCUUAACCGCAGGGCUGCCUUCUAAACUGUCAGGCUAGAGCACGGUAGAGGCAGAUGGAAUUCCCGGUGUAGCGGUGGAAUGCGUAGAGAUCGGGAAGAACAUCGGAGGCGAAGGCGGCUUGCUGGACCUGGUCUGACGCUGAGGCGCGAAAGCGUGGGGAGCGAACAGG